rnacentral:misc_RNA from 1 species
UACGGAGGGUGCAAGCAUUAAUCGGAUUUACUGGGCGUAAAGGGCGCGUAGGCGGAAGUAAAAGUCAGGUGUGAAAUUUCGGUGCUCAACACCGAAGCUGCACUUGAAACUAUACAUCUAGAGGAUGGACGGAGAAAACGGAAUUCCACGUGUAGCGGUGAAAUGCGUAGAUAUGUGGAAGAACACCUGUGGCGAAAGCGGUUUUCUAGUUUAUUCCUGACGCUGAGGCGCGAGAGCAGGGGUAGCAAACAGG